CGAGAAAGUUGUCGAUACUCUGUUUUCCUGACAUUACACAAGAACAGGCGUAGGAGAAGACGUGUAAACUGCAAGAGAUCAACAGUAGCCCUGCUUUAAGAGAAAAGGAAUCCUCAAGUCCUGGUUUCAUGCUCUUGCAACCUUCAGCUCUGGCUCAAAGUCCUCAGCGUUGGAUCCCGCGUCAUCCUAAGUAUUCAAACCUCAGAAGAAUCCAAGUUUGGUUCAAUCUCCAACUGACAGCUCAGUACCAAUUAAUCCAGAAAAACGAACCCUGCUCACCCUCCACCAACUAAUAACCAAAGACUCACCAGCACAACUUGUCUGCAACUGACGCCUCCAGGAGAUGGACUUCAUGGAGGACUCAACAGCUGAUCAGAGGCUGAUUUUUGGUGCAAUAAUUUGUGUUGGAGUCAUCCAUUUUGGUCGCACAGCGGAACAUGCACAGCUCAACAGACAUCGCAGCUCUGACAUCACUGGGAUUAUAAAUCCGCCGGGAAAAAAAGUUUUGUUGCCAUUUCCCGCGUGUCUCACAGGACGACGCAACGGAAGGUGCAUAUCUGGAGAGACAAAAGCUCGCAGGCAAACAUUUGUUCCACAAGGCCAUUCCUGGAAGGGCUUGAACGCUGGAAAUCUGUCUGAUACA